UACGGGGGGGGCAAGCGUUGUUCGGAAUUAUUGGGCGUAAAGAGCUCGUAGGCGGUUUGUCGCGUCGGCCGUGAAAACUUGGGGCUUAACUCCAAGCUUGCGGUCGAUACGGGCAGACUUGAGUUCGGCAGGGGAGACUGGAAUUCCUGGUGUAGCGGUGAAAUGCGCAGAUAUCAGGGGGAACACCGGUGGCGAAGGCGGGUCUCUGGGCCGAUACUGACGCUGAGGAGCGAAAGCGUGGGGAGCGAACAGG
rnacentral:rRNA from 1 species